UACGUAGGUGGCGAGCGUUGUCCGGAAUUACUGGGCGUAAAGGGCGCGUAGGCGGCUCUUUAAGUCAGAUGUGAAAACCCAGGGCUUAACUUUGGGAGUGCAUUUGAAACUGAAGGGCUCGAGUGCAGGAGAGGUAAGUGGAAUUCCUAGUGUAGCGGUGAAAUGCGUAGAUAUUAGGAGGAACACCAGUGGCGAAGGCGACUUACUGGACUGUAACUGACGCUGAGGCGCGAAAGCGUGGGGAGCAAACAGG
rnacentral:rRNA from 2 species